UUACUGGAGUUGUGCGCAUGCCCACUUGAGGUAUUUUUCUCUUACCAGCACAAUGUCCCUUGGAGGUCACAGAUCAGUUAAACUCUGCCAUUGUGCCUUUUACUGGGCAUGCUUGAGCCCACUGGCCCAGCUCCCGAGGUCUUAUCAGGAAGCUGCUGAUCACCACUUUCAAGUGUUUCUGUUUAUUGGGAGACUGCCUUUGCCUGGCACCAGCUGUGACCAAUUAUUAUUUUAGAGAGACAGUUAACAGGCGCCUGACCAUCCCCUGCUGAACAGCCUGACAUUCCUGGUGUGUGUGGUGGGGGGUGUGAGGGGCGCUCUCUCCUGCCCUGCUCGUGUCUGACUCAUUGGAUUCUGCAGAGUGGAAGUGGGAGACCCCUUCUGACCCUGGCCACCUGUCUCCGUGCGAAGGCAGAUCCAUUUGAGUGAGAGUCCUAGGCAGUACCUCAACUGCCUCUCACUACCCAGGACAAAUAAACCCACUUGACUGUGAUGUGCUUUUUGUGACUACAUUGUGAGAUUGGAUUUUCAGAUAUUUUAUUUAGAAUUUUUGCAUCUAUAUUCUUUGGGAGGUCCACGGAGCACUUUCUUUUCGUUUAGAGCAUUGGUGGCUCCACAAUAGAUGCAUGCUAUGUAGCCGUUCCGGCUACAGCUGCCCAAGUCUGCCUGAGCCUCCUGCAUGAGGCCAUUGGUCUUAAUAAAGCCACUGACCCCCACACUCGGAAUUGUACUGACUUUUCACAGCUAACAGCCAACACUUGCCGAGAAGCAAUUCUGUUGUUGAGGAUAUCACAUCAUGCCAGGGAAACAGAGAUGGAAUUCAGAAAACCUGGGAUAUUGCAGUUCAGAUAAAUUGCACUUGGUCAACGGAAACGUCCUAAGGGCAUUGCGGCUGCAGCUGGAGAAUGAAGAAGACAUAAAAUUAGGGCUUUUGUCACUGUUGCUUGAUUUCAUUAAAGGGCAUUAGUUUUCCGCGAGAUGUAUGGGAUUGGAGAGGACAGGAGCCGGAAGCCCCCAGUACAGCAGCAAGGCCAGUGCCAGUGAGGACCCGGAGCCUCAUUUCUGCUGCCACGUGCCUGGACUGCACUGUGCUCCCCACCCUGCCAUGCCCGGCCCAGUGGUGCUCUGCUCUAUCCCCCUCAGCCAGCCUGAGACUGGCCCCCAGUGUGUUGUGACUCCUGGGGUCUCUCAGCUGUCCCUCAGCCCCCAGGAGAAUUUCCCUCCCCUGCAGCAGCUGCCUGAUGGGGAGACUGGCCCCUCUCUGGGACUGACUGAUCCAGGUUUAUCCUGAAAGCAGCCUCUCCCCAGGUCAGAAGACCUCUCAGGCUCUGUUUCUAGGGAGCCUGACCUGCUGACAAUGCUCCUAGCUGGAUUCUGUAAGUGGUCUUGAAUAAAGUCUUCCUUACUGUUUUAACAUGAGACAGGAGAAGUUAUCACGUAACAUCUUGUACAAAGAGGAAACCUGGACACAGAAGUGGACGUGCACUCAGAGGGAGAACGCUGCCAUGUGACAGAGAUCAGGUGAUGCAUCUCCAAGCCGAGCAACCCCAGGGAUUGCCAAAAACCACCAGGAGCUGCAGAGGCCUAGGACAGACCCUCCCACAGAGUCUCAAGACAGCCAGCCCUUCCCACGCUUUCAUCUCUGAUGUCCGACCUCAAGAACCAUGAGAGAUGAGAGAACCCACUUCCAAGGGUGAAGCCUCCCAGUCUGUGGUCCCCUGUCCCAGCAGCCCUGGGAACCUGACCCCUGGUGCCUCUGCAUCCCUGGCAUUGCCCUGCCCUCUCACUCCUGUUCUCCAGUGAAUCCAACACACUCUUAGUGAGAUAGCCAGGUGGCAAGGGGUCCUCAGAGAAACUCCAGCCCGCCUGUGCAUUGGGAAUGUGC